rnacentral:rRNA from 1 species
GACGAACGCUGGCGGCGUGCUUAACACAUGCAAGUCGAACGGGAAGGCCCUGCUUUUGUGGGGUGCUCGAGUGGCGAACGGGUGAGUAACACGUGAGUAACCUGCCCUUGACUUUGGGAUAACUUCAGGAAACUGGGGCUAAUACCGGAUAGGAGCUCCUGCUGCAUGGUGGGGGUUGGAAAGUUUCGGCGGUUGGGGAUGGACUCGCGGCUUAUCAGCUUGUUGGUGGGGUAGUGGCUUACCAAGGCUUUGACGGGUAGCCGGCCUGAGAGGGUGACCGGCCACAUUGGGACUGAGAUACGGCCCAGACUCCUACGGGAGGCAGCAGUGGGGAAUAUUGCACAAUGGGCGGAAGCCUGAUGCAGCAACGCCGCGUGCGGGAUGACGGCCUUCGGGUUGUAAACCGCUUUCGCCUGUGACGAAGCGUGAGUGACGGUAAUGGGUAAAGAAGCACCGGCUAACUGCGUG